UUCUACACGGGUAGAUUAGAGCGCCGCACACAAACAUUGUAGCCUCUCAAUGAGCCUGCCUUCCACGCCCACAUGUGGUGCUGCUCGUUGAAUGAGACACUUGGACAGUCUUGGAGAGAGGAGCUCCAAUUUCAUGAGAUGCAUGAGUCGAAGAUGGCAGCAAGUCCAAGAAUGAUGUACCAGUACAGCCCAACUUGAAUAUAUUCCCAACCAUUUUGAUGAAGGGGGACAGAAGACGGAGCUUCAGGCCAAACUGGUCUAAUCUUCAUCCAUGGUAUCCUGAGUAUUCUGUCAUGAUGGACUCUACAUGUUGAUAUGCAUGUAGAUAUGUUUAACUUUGUAUUGCCCUACCUCUCUUGCACCUGCACUCAUUAUUGUGCAAAAUAAAUGUUUAUAUGAUUUUAAAGUAAAAUAAAGCGUAUAAUCUUUAAAUAUCA